rnacentral:rRNA from 1 species
UAGGGAAUCUUCCGCAAUGGACGAAAGUCUGACGGAGCAACGCCGCGUGAGUGAUGAAGGUUUUCGGAUCGUAAAACUCUGUUGUUAGGGAAGAACAAGUUGGGUAGUAACUGACCCAACCUUGACGGUACCUAACCAGAAAGGCACGGCUAACUACGUGCCAGCAGCCGCGGUAAUACGUAGGUGGCAAGCGUUGUCCGGAAUUAUUGGGCGUAAAGCGCUCGCAGGCGGUCUUUUAAGUCUGAUGUGAAAGCCCACGGCUUAACCGUGGAGGGUCAUUGGAAACUGGAGGACUUGAGUACAGAAGAGGAGAGUGGAAUUCCACGUGUAGCGGUGAAAUGCGUAGAGAUGUGGAGGAACACCAGUGGCGAAGGCGACUCUCUGGUCUGUAACUGACGCUGAGGAGCGAAAGCGUGGGUAGCGAACAGG